GCAAGUGAUAUGCAUGGAAGAGUUCGUCCUAGGAUCAAGUGCAAGAAAAUCAACAAACUGAUCAUCCGAGUAUACCAAGGUAACUUCGAAAUUAUCAUUCCAGAACAGAGCCAGACCACCCUUUAAACCAUCAGGAUCCUUCACAAAAGAGUUAGAAAAUUUAAACUUACGCUGAAUCUUAGAUACGAAGUGUUUAUCCUUCUUCGUUUCCAUUAAAAACACAAAAUCAGGCUUAUCACAGGCUACCAUCGCCUUUAGGGCUUGAAUUGUCAGGGGAUUGCCCAACCCCUGACAAUUCCAACUGAGGAGCUUCAUUUGGAACACGGUGGCUGUUGAGGGCCAGCCGCUAAAGCCCAAGGAUCAGGGAUAUCUGCCUCCACAACCGGAGUAUCAAGGAGGAGGGACUCAUCAAGAGCUGUUGAGUAUGGAACUUUGAGUUCAUAUGGUGUGUAUCUUUUUGUUUUCUUACUUGAACCCCCAUGUGGCAUUGGCCGAGGAAUCUUCGGCCUCUUCUGCUGUUGAGUAUCCACUGGGAAAGUCUAAGUGUUUUUCAUCUUUGCUGCUGCAGGUACUAAAUCAGUAGUAGAGCCGUGGAGGUAACCGGAUGCCAUUGCUUGGAAGCCCCGUGAGGUAAUUCAGGGUUCGAAGUAACAACCUCUGUAGCAGGGAUAGGAGGGAGAGCUGGAAGAACCGGCUACAUUUGAGGAGGAGUUUCAGGUACUGUCUCUUCCAUGGACUCAACUUGUAUUUUAGGAUUGUAAAAGGCAUCCCAGUAAGGGCUAAAUUGUUUAAGCUCUGCUCUGAGCCAAGGUCCAUAAAUCAUCGUGUCACGGCCAUCAAAUUGUGUUUCAACAUAUGGAAACUCGGGACAGGAAGUUGCAUAGUGACCAAGCCGUCCACAGGAGUAGCAAUAAUGGGACAGUCUCUCGUACCUAAAAUCAAGCCAUACGGUUUUACCUUCAAUACUGAUAAGUUUACCAUUUUUCAGAGGAUCUUUCAAAUCUAAUUCAAUUCGUAUUCUUGUAGAAAUAUCUGUUUUCACCUCCAAUACUUUACCUAUCUGGGAUGCAGCUCGACGCAAAAUAGGUGGAGAAGUCCACUCCAAAGGUAAGCCAAUAACAUGCACCCAAAACAUACAUUUGCUGAAAUCAUACUGUUGCAAUGGAGUAUUAGGUUGCCAUGGACGUAGGUUAACUAAGUGACCAGAAAAUAACCAAGGGCUACCAUCCAGAAUACGACGCUUCUCCACUUCUGUUCUAAAUUUGAUGAUAUAUAGCCCUGUAGCUGCCGAAGUGAUGUCUACAUGAUCCAUUCUCCAGGCUUUCUUCAUAGCAACUUGAAAGGCAGAUAAAUUCACAGAAGGAUUGGUAAAUAUGUUGCCUACCAGAAUGAGACAACAAUCCUUUAGUUUGGCCGACGCAGGGAUGUUAUCCCAAACCUCCAACGGCUGUUCUGAGCAUAAACGGCCCAGGCGAUUACAGAGGGAAGCGAUUCGUGAGGUAGUAUCACUGUCUUCCAUUAGUAAAGGGAAUAGAAAUACGUUAAUAUGGAAAAUUGAAAGAACAGAUGACUGAAUCGAAGAGUUGCCAAGAUUGCAUGUUACAGAUCGGCAACAUGCAGAGCAGGAAUGGCGGGGAAUUGCAGGAUAACAGAAGAACAACGGACCCAGGGAACUGUGAUAGGAGACGGGGAUAGAAGAAUUUGCACAUGCAGAAGGAGGAAGGACGAGGAGAAACAGCUAAGGUGAAAUGGGCGGAGAACGACGGUGAUGCAUAAAGACCUCAAAGUUCAGAGAAGGAGCUGAGGAAAUUGAAGACAUGGUGAAGAGCUCGAACAUCACGCGAGAGAAAACUCUAACAUAA
rnacentral:lncRNA from 1 species